GAUGAACGCUGGCGGCGUGCCUAAUACAUGCAAGUCGAGCGAACAGACGAGGAGCUUGCUCCUUUGACGUUAGCGGCGGACGGGUGAGUAACACGUAGGUAACCUACCUAUAAGACUGGGAUAACUUCGGGAAACCGGAGCUAAUACCGGAUAAUAUUUCGAACCGCAUGGUUCGAUAGUGAAAGAUGGCUUUGCUAUCACUUAUAGAUGGACCUGCGCCGUAUUAGCUAGUUGGUAAGGUAACGGCUUACCAAGGCAACGAUACGUAGCCGACCUGAGAGGGGGAUCGGCCACAUGGGAACUGAGACACGGUCCAGACUCCUACGGGAGGCAGCAGUAGGGAAUCUGCCGCAAUGGGCGAAAGCCUGACGGAGCAACGCCGCGUGAGUGAUGAAGGUCUUCGGAUCGUAAAACUCUGUUAUUAGGGAAGAACAAACGUGUAAGUAACUGUGCACGUCUUGACGGUACCUAAUCAGAAAGCCACGGCUAACUACGUG
rnacentral:rRNA from 1 species